AGAAAAAUAAUUAAAAUGGCCUUAUUACAACCCAAAACCAAAUAAUAAUAUUAAUUCAGAUAAAACUUAUAAAAAAAUAAACCGGUUACUUCUUGCAAUUAAAAGAAACAGAAACAGUAGUGUGGCCAUCUCCGAGUCCUUCGCAGCUCCAAACCAUCUAAGCUUAGGGAUUACCUGCACAGUUAGAAACGGGGUGAGUUUACAAAAACUCAAUGUGUAAUCCCCAACAACAAACAAACAGUGAAUAACAUAGUGUCAGUACAAUCUGGGCCAAAGCCUUAUUCAGUAACAGUACAGUCUGGGCCUUAGCCCUUAAACAGUAGCAAUAUGGGCCUAAGCCCCAAUUCAGUCUCGAUAUAUACUGGGCCGAAGCCUUUUCAUAAAUCAUAUCACUAGGCCGAAGCCUUUUCAUAAAUCAUAUCAUUGGCCGAAGCCUUUACUGUAAGCGGUAUGGCCCAUAGGCCCAUUUCAAUAUCACAUGUAAUAUCAAUGAAUGUAUGCAAGCCCAUUUGGGGAGACUACUCAACUCACCAUCCGCUACUCUCCACUCGUACCAACCAACACACCAUGUGGGGAAUAACUCAACCCACCCAACCAAACUCUCCACUGGUAGCAUAGCUGCUUUAUCAUAUAACUGGAGGCCUAGCCUCUUUUAAUAACUGGGGCAAAGCCCUUUUUGAUAAACUGGGGCAAAGCUCGUUUCGGUAAACUGGGGCAUAGCCCUUUUAGCACUUCCUCCAUUUAUAAAACCCAACCCAUGCAACAUGUCAUGUAUACAGAAUGUCAUGCCUGUAUUUGAAUCAAACAAUCACAGUCAAGUCAUUCAUAUCACCAACAUAUAUUCACAAUCAAAUCCAUCCACCACACAGUCCAAGUCAGACACUUGCCCACAAGGGCAAAACAGUCAUUUUUCAUAUUAUAAGGGUAAUUUCGUAAUUUUACCAAAUAUUAGGGUUUUCCAUGUUCAUUAACAAUUAUCAAUAUUUUUGAGUGUUUAAACAAUGAUCUUUAACCCACUUUAUGAAAUUUGGGCUUUUGGGCCCAAUACCCCUAAUGGGCCCUACGAAUGCUGAUUUAGCCCACUAAGCCUGCUUAAUCCAAAUUUUACAACAGUACUAACCGUGUUAACAUGCAACUUUUCCAGAUUCCAUUUUCUAUCAGUUUUACCCAAAUGGGCCCGAAAGCCCAUUUGGCCCAAUUCCUGCCCAUUAAGGCCCAACUUACCAUUGUGCAAAAAAUUGAGUUCUUACCCGUUCCAUCGGUCCAAACACCAAUCUUAUUGUAUUUAUCGCAUUUAUACCCACACGCAACAUUACAAGUUCCCGAAAUGUCGGUAUUUUAGCAUUUUGGCUUCUCAGCAGAUAUUAAUCUAAGCUACUACGAGGGUUAGUACACACCUGUUAUGGGUUGAAGUUGAAACGUUUCCAUAAUCAAUCACCUACGAUAACCACCACCUGUCACUCAAACUUAACUAAUCCAAUAUCAAUAUAUGUAAAUCCUAAGCACAUCAGUCAUACGGAACAUAAGGGCAUAUUCGUCAUUUUACCAUACAAGGGUAUUACGGUCACUUUACCCUCAGGGGCUUUACGGUCUUUUUACCUAUUAGGGGUAUUUUAGUCAUUUCAUCCUACAAGGGUGUUUUCGUAAAUCUACAAACCAAGGGUACUUCAGUAAUUUUGUAAACCAAUGGUAUUUCUAUAAUUUUUUAAAGUCAAGGGUAUUUCUGUAAUUUUGUAAAUCAGGGGUAUUUUGGUAAUUUUACAAAUUGAGGGUAUUUCGGUAAUUUCACAAACCAGUGGUAUUUUGGUAAUUUUACAAACUAGGGGUAUUUUGGCAAUUUUGUAAACCAAGGGUAUUUUAGUAAUCUUGUAAAUAGAGGGUAAAACGAUAAUUCUAUAAAUCGAGGGUAAAACGGUAAAUCUGUAAAUUAAGGGUAAAAUGGUAAUUCUAUAAAUCGAGGGUAAAACGAUAAUUCUAUAAAUUGAGGGUAAAACGGUAAUUCUGUAAAUCGAGGGUACUUUGAUAAUUUUACAAAUUGAGGACAUUUUAGUAAUUUGGUAAAUUAAAAUAUUCUAAAUAGGGAUAACAAUACGAAUGAGCCUAAAGCCUAUUCUCGGCCCAAAUGGGCCCACACGCUCGUGUGGCCCUUUUAGCCCAAAUCUAGCCACAAAUAUGAGAUUUACCUAACCUAGUCCAAUAUUUACUACACAAUCAAACAAACUUAUCCAAUUAGGCCCGUAGGCCCAUUGGGCCCACAUGGCCCUACGUAGCCAUCCUACAGCUAGAGUAGUGAGAAAUACACACCUGAUAGGAGACUGGAGUUAAUCCACACUCUGAGCACUCUUAGCCGACGCCCAACCCAAACGAGCAUGCCAUACAGCGAAAGGG
rnacentral:lncRNA from 1 species